rnacentral:rRNA from 1 species
GACGAACGCUGGCGGCGCGCUUAACACAUGCGAGUCGAACGGAAAGGCCUGCUUUCCCUUGUGGAUUGCGGGUACUCGAGUGGCGAACGGGUGAGUAACACGUGAGUGAUCUGCCCCCAACUUGGGUAUAAGCCUGGGAAACUGGGUCUAAUUCCCGAUAGGACUGCAGGGUGGUGCCUGUGGUGGAAAACGAUUUUCUAGUGGUUGGGGAUGAGCUCGCGGCCUAUCAGCUUGUUGGUGGGGUAAUGGCCUACCAAGGCGGCGACGGGUAGCCGGCCUGAGAGGGUGGACGGCCACAUUGGGACUGAGAUACGGCCCAGACUCCGACGGGAGGCAGCAGUGGGGAAUAUUGCACAAUGGGCGGAAGCCUGAUGCAGCGACGCCGCGUGGGGGAUGACGGCCUUCGGGUUGUAAACUCCUUUCGACCGCGAGGAAGCCACCUGGUUGGAAGGGUGGUGACGGUAGUGGUAGAAGAAGCACCGGCUAACUACGUG